UUAAGCGUCCAUACAAAGUUAAAAUACACCGGUUUUCGUCCGAUCACCGAAGUUAAGCAACGUCGGGCGCGGUCAGUACUUGAAUGGGUGACUGUCUGGGUACACCGCGUGUUUCAAAUA
rnacentral:rRNA from 1 species